rnacentral:rRNA from 1 species
UACGGAGGGUGCAAGCGUUAAUCGGAAUUACUGGGCGUAAAGAGUGCGUAGGUUGUUUAGUGUGUUAGAUGUGAAAUCCAUGGGCUCAACCUGUGAAUCGCAUUUAAAACUGCUAAGCUAGAGUGUUGUAGAGGGUGGCGGAAUUUCCAGUGUAGCGGUGAAAUGCGUAGAUAUUGGAAGGAACACCAGUGGCGAAGGCGGCCACCUGGACAAACACUGACACUGAGGCACGAAAGCGUGGGUAGCGAACAGG